UACGAGGGGGGGCGAGCGUUAUUCGGAUUCACUGGGCGUAAAGGGUGCGCAGGCGGUUGUGUGUGUCAGGUGUGAAAGCCCGGGGCUUAACCCCGGAAUUGCGCCUGAAACUACAUGACUAGAGCAUUGGAGAGGGUAGCGGAAUUCACGGUGUAGCAGUGAAAUGCGUAGAUAUCGUGAGGAACACCAGAGGCGAAGGCGGCUACCUGGACAAUUGCUGACGCUCAGGCACGAAAGCGUGGGGAGCAAAAGGG
rnacentral:rRNA from 1 species